AGUGAACGCUGGCGGUAGGCCUAACACAUGCAAGUCGAACGGCAGCACAGUAAGAGCUUGCUCUUACGGGUGGCGAGUGGCGGACGGGUGAGGAAUACAUCGGAAUCUACUUUUUCGUGGGGGAUAACGUAGGGAAACUUACGCUAAUACCGCAUACGACCUACGGGUGAAAGUAGGGGAUCUUCGGACCUUGCGCGAUUGAAUGAGCCGAUGUCGGAUUAGCUAGUUGGCGGGGUAAAGGCCCACCAAGGCGACGAUCCGUAGCUGGUCUGAGAGGAUGAUCAGCCACACUGGAACUGAGACACGGUCCAGACUCCUACGGGGGGCAGCAGUGGGGAAUAUUGGACAAUGGGCGCAAGCCUGAUCCAGCCAUACCGCGUGGGUGAAGAAGGCCUUCGGGUUGUAAAGCCCUUUUGUUGGGAAAGAAAAGCAGCAGGUUAAUACCCCGCUGUUCUGACGGUACCCAAAGAAUAAGCACCGGCUAACUUCGUG
rnacentral:rRNA from 1 species